GGAGGUGGAGUCAGCUGCGAGCCGCUGUGUGUUGUGGAGGGGUCGCUGUGGAAGAGGUCAAGUACCCGGCGGAGGGCACCGCUAAAGUCUGGUGGAAGGCUCCUGGUAGCGUGGGCAGGUUGGAGGACUACAGCAGGAUGUUCCUCCCAUAAAAAGCACACAUUGGUUGAAAGGUGUUGCAGUGUGCUGACGCCAGACCCACACUCAGCACUGCCAGUGCUCAGAGGUCCCACUGGCCCCAGACAGCAAUUUUCCACCCCAGCGUGCAGGAAAAUAAAC